UGGGCACAGUGCAUAUUGUUCAACGAUUAUAUCCAAUUUCAGAUUGCAGCUAGCUACAUAUCUUAUAUUGGAAAAGAAAAAGAAAACGGCUUUUCAUGAUUUUUGUUUAUUUUGGCUUUAUGUAAAUAAAGGAACCAUGCAAAUCUUGAUUUUCUCUGGACCUUCUUUGUUUUUUUAAUGAGUUGUUUGAUAUUACAUGCUUAUUUAAAUUCUUGAAAAAAAUUACAUUUACUGCUGGCACUUGAACAAUGUUCUGAGCAGCACGUACUGAAUAUUUUUGAAAUAACAAACUGCCGCUUGGUGGACAAAAUAAUUCACAGAACCCCUCCAUGUUGUUCCUGAUGGAAAACACAGGAGGAAUGAGUAUAUACCAAAACUCCAAAAGGAACAGACUCUUUUAACCGAGUUUGCAAAAAAAAAAAAAAAGAUCAUUCCCUCUACAUAUAUUAACAACAUCGCUUGUGAUUAUCUGGUGGAUCUCAACUGCAACAGCUAUACCUUUUUUCUCAGGUAAGAGAAAAAAAAAAUUAUUGACGAAUUUAUGUAAUUAAGUUUAUAUGCCUUUUGUUGUAAUCUAAUUACGUAGAUGUAUUUUUAUGAGUUUGUUAGCAGAAAAACGCAUGCGAUUGUCAUUUUGCAUCUUUAAAUGUGCUUUUGAAGCCAUCAAAGAAUCAAAAGAUCUUGCCCAGACCAAAUGGAGCCAAAUUGGGGUUGAAACGAAUAAAUAAUAAUUCUUGAGGGCCAUAUUCGCUCCCCCGGGUAGUGGGAGUUCUAUAAACCUAAACAACAAAUAUGAAUAUCAUAAUUGUACAUAUUUGGUAAUUAAAAAUUAAACAGUUCUAUAUUAUUUGAGAAAUUUUUUCCCCUUUGUAGGCCAUAUACAUUAUAUUAUUUUAAAAAUAAAACAGUUUUAAGAAUAAAUUUACUCCAUAAAGUGAAUCUUAUAUAUACUAAAGCAAAAAUUUAGAUGGAUAUGCCUGUCUUGGUAAAAUCUCGAAAUGCAGGACCCUGGAAACAAAAAUAAGGACGCCGUCCACUUCAGCAGAAGCAGAUCACGGCCGACCUACAGAAUUUUCCUAGUGCUCCGCUUGAAAUAGCUUUUUGACUAACCAUACCAAAAGUUCUGACACACAUUUCCAUGGACAAUUAUUCCAAAGAAUCUUAAAUUUCCCCUUCUUCAAUUUCUCCUCAAUUCUACCAGCCUCUUUCUCUCUUGGUUGAUCAUGAGGUUGAUGAUCACUCUGUGUUCCUCUUGUGAUUAUUAAUAUUCUGUGUGGGCGGUGUUGGUGCCUAGGAAAGUCGCAUAUUUAUACCACCUUACAUUUUGGAAGAACAGGAGGAAAAUGGAGAUAUUUGCAGCUUUAUUCGUAGUCAUUGCCACCUUUCUCUUUGGUGUCUUCCUCCAAAGAAUCAAGGAUUUCCUCCUGGAAAUUAAUGUCCUGGGAACACUUUUGAGGCAACUUUCUGGCUGCCUUGGAGAAACAAGAGAAAAAACGGAGACAGGGGAAGAGGCGGAGCCAUUAACACCUUUAUCGCCCUCACCUGGAAGUAGUGGAUUCGAGUUCGAAGUGUUUCUUAGCUUCAGAGGCGAGGACACCAGGAAGGGCUUCACUAGGCAUCUCUAUGAUGACCUUGAACUGCGUGGCAUUUCCACCUUCAUAGACAGUGAGAAGUUGGAAAAAGGGGAGGAGAUCAACAAGCUGUUCGAAUACAUAGAGAUGUCCAAGAUCUGCGUUCCUAUCUUCUCCCAACGUUAUGCAGAAUCAAAAUGGUGUUUGAAAGAGAUCACCAAAAGCGUGGAGCUUGGGAAGGAGAUGGUUCCGGUGUUCUUCGGUGUGGAACCUUCGGAUGUUCGCAACCAGAACGGCUGCUUCAAAUCUGCAUUUAAGAAGCAUGAAUCCAACAAGAAGCAGGACCAGGAAGAGGUGAGGAAAUGGAAGGAAGCAUUGAAGAAGGUCGGAAAUCUCUCUGGGUUCAAUAUGAAGGACAUGAACUGGUAUAGGGAUGAGGCAAAACUAAGGCGUGCAAUCGUCAAGCGAGUACUCAGUAAAGUAAACAAGAAGCCACUCGAAGUUGCAAGGCAUCCAAUUGGAAUUGAGACUCGCGUUCAAGACGUGAAGAAAAUGUUAGAGAGUGGAGGCAAUGAUCAUCAUGUUCAUGUGGUUGGAAUCCACGGUAUGGGGGGGCUUGGAAAGACGACGAUUGCCAAGGCUGUUUUCAACGACUUAGCGGAAGGGUUUAAUGGCGCCACUUGUUUUCUUUCAAAUAUAAGGGAAAAAUCCGGACAACCCAAUGGAUUGGUCGCCUUACAGAAGCAGGUCUUUCGUGAAAUUUUCAAAGACGGAAAUUUAUUUUUAAGCGAUGUUGCACAUGGAGUAAGCUUGAUCAAACAAAGGGCCAGUCGUAAAAGAGUUCUGCUUAUCUUAGAUGAUGUUGAUUCGGUAGAACAAAUUGAUGCACUGGCUGGUGGGAGAGAUUGGUUUGGCGCCGGAAGCGUGAUCAUCAUCACAACCAGAGAUGAGAAGGUACUGCAAGCCCGCAGAGUGAAACAGCACGAAAUUUACAAGCCACGGGAACUAAAUGAAGCUCAGUCGCGGGAGCUAUUCAUGAAUCACGCAUUUAAUAGCGAACAACCGGAAGGGGAGUAUCUCCGAUUAUCAAAGGAAGUUGUUGCAGCAGCUGGUGGGCUACCGUUAACCCUUGAAGUGCUCGGAUCGCUUUUAACUUUUGACAUGGACGUACAAGAAUGGAAAGAUACAUUGCAGAAACUGAAGAUGAUUCCCCCCAGUAAAGUCCAACAGAGGUUGAAGCUGAGCUAUGAUGGAUUAGAUGAGUUAGAGAAGGAAAUAUUUCUAGAUAUUUCGUGUUUUUUUAUUGGUCGGGACAGAGAAAAUGCGACUUACAUGUGGAUGGACCGCUCCUGCUUCCCAAAUUUAGCAAUUAAGGUGCUUGUUCAACGAUCUCUCAUAAAGAUAGAUAAGGAAAGCCAAGAGUUUGAGAUGCAUGAUCAAAUAAGAGACAUGGGAAGGGCCAUAGUUGAAGAAGAAUGCUCUCGAAAGCUUCAUAAGAAGAGUAGACUGUGGAAUUCUCAAGAGACUAUGAGUUUUCUACAAAAAAAGGUACGAAGGCCUAUUGAUGCUCAAGGGAUUCUCAUUUGGCCAAAUGUUGAAAGGUUUUUCCAGAAAUGUAUUAGUGCCCAAUGGUUUGAAGAAAUGCCCAACCUGAGAUAUCUUUAUGCUGCAGAUGUAAACUUCCAAGGCACAUACCAACAUUUUCCUAUAGAUUUGAAAUGGUUGCAGUUGAACAAUUGCUUCUUUGACUUGCCACCAUCUGAUUUUAAUCUUGAGGAUGUCGUCAUCCUUGACCUCUAUGAAACUAACAUGGUCCAAAUUCUUAUAAACCAAUUGCCACUUAGAGGAAUGGCUUUUAAAAAAUUGAAAGUUCUCUCAAUUCAUGGAGCAGACAUACAGUUUAUCCCUGAUUUCACAGAUAUGUCAUGCCUGGUGAAAUUGACACUUGAAAAUUGUCCAAUGUUGAUUACAAUUGAUGAAUCAAUUGGGAAACUCAAGAAGCUGACAUAUUUGUGUAUAGGAAAAUGUGAGAUCCUAGAGAAGCUACCAGAUUCAAUUAGUCAAUUGAGUUCACUUGAAGUCCUUCAUAUUAGUUCCUGUUCCAAAAUUUCCUCUUUGCCAGAAGGAUUAGAGGAUUUGGAGUCACUUAAGAAGCUUAAGAUUGACAAAGCAAGUAUCAACGUUAUUCCUGAAUCAGUCGGAGGGCUUACAAAACUUAGUGAGUUGUCUGUGGUUGACUGCACACAUUGCAAUGUGCUACCUGAUUCUAUUUGUCAGUUAAGUUCUCUUCAAGUCCUUAACCUUGAAGAUUGUUCUGGUUUGGGUUCUCUGCCUGAGCAGUUGGGAGACAUGGGAUCACUUAGGCAACUUCAUCUUAGUUCAACAAGUAUAGUCAAGAUACCUGAUUCAAUAGGUCAACUUAUUAACUUGCAUGAGCUACUUAUGUUGCACUGUGAAAAACUGUCAAGAUUACCAGAUACCAUUUUCCGGUUAAGUUCUCUUGAGAUUCUUAACCUUGGAUUUUGUUCUAGUUUGGCUUGUUUGCCAGAGCAUUUGGGAGGCAUGAGAUCACUCAGGGAGCUUCAUCUUGAUGGAACAAUUAUAGACAAAAUACCUGAUUCAAUAGGUCAACUUACAAACUUGUGUGAGAUACACAUGACAUGGUGUCAAAGACUGUCAAUGUUACCAGAUUCAGUCUGUCAGUUAAGUAAUCUUGAAGUGCUUGAUUUGCAACGGUGUAUGAAACUUUCAUCUGUGCCGGAACGACUAGGAGAGAUGAAGUCUUUAAAGAAGCUUGACCUCUCCCGGACAUGCAUUGAGACCAUACCUAAUUCAAUUGGACAGCUUAUCAACCUCCAUCGGCUAUCGGUGCAGUAUUUAGAAUGCUUGAGAGAGCUGCCAAAUUCCAUUUGCCAAUUAUGUUCACUACAAUACCUCAACCUCCAAGGAUGUGCUGAUCUUUGGUCCUUGCCAGAAAGAUUAGGGGAUAUGGACAAACUGAAGUACCUUAUUCUUGAUGAUACAAGAAUACAGGCAUUACCUGAUUCAGUUGGACGACUUAAAAACCUUCAACUGCUAUCUCUGGAAGGCUGCAAACUCCUAAAAGCAUUACCUAAUUCUAUUGGAAGAUUGAGUUCCUUACGAGCGCUCAAAAUAUCUGGGACAAGCUUAAAGGGCUGUGAGAAUGAUAUUUCUCAUCUUGCAACCAUCAAUGAAUUAACGUGUUCGUCUUUUGAGCUGCUUGGCUUGUGCAAAAAAUUAUGCAAAGCCUUGAAACGUCUUCGCUUGAUCGAUGUUGUAAUUAAAGAGCUGCCUGAUUUUGUUGGAGAGAUGGAAAACCUCGAGGAGCUGCUGCUAGAAUGUGAAAUGCUCAGAGCCUUGCCUAAUUGGAUCAGCCUAUGCUUCAAAAAGCUUACAAGAUUGGAGAUUAGGAGCAAGAAUCUAAAAGCUCUGCCUGACUGCAUUGGAUCACUCAAACAGCUUGAAAGAUUGACUUUGAAGUGUGAGAACCUUGAUGCUUUGCCCAACUCGAUUGGGUCACUGAAACAAAUGCAGCAGUUGGAAUUGAAUUGUGCAAACCUUGAAGCUCUUCCUGAUUCCAUUGGAGAGCUGGGAAAUAUUUACAGCUUCAAAAUCGAAUCAGCAAGUCUGAAAGCCCUUCCAAACUCGAUUGUAUCACUAGGAAGGAUUCACUAUUUGCAUCUCCGUUGCAUGAGCCUGGACUCUAUACCUGAUUAUGUUGGAGGGUUGAAAGAGCUUUAUUGCUUCGAAGUGAUGUCUAACAGUCUUAAAGUUCUGCCCCAAUCCAUUGGGUCACUGAAAAGCAUUAGGACUUUAAUAUUGAACUGUCCAAACCUUGAGAUUUUAUAUGAUUCUAUUGGAGAAUUGAAAGGUCUUUCCCACUUUGAAGUGGUCUCUCAUGUUCUUGAAUAUUUGCCUCACUCUAUUGGCUCCAUAACUGGGAUCCAGAGCUUGUCACUAAGGUGUGUGAACCUUGAAGCUUUGCCUGACUCUAUGGAAACAUUGGAAAGUCUUGACUUCUUAGAACUGCAUUGCGACAAUUUCACAGCACCACCUGAUUUCAUUGGACGGUUGGAAAAUCUGGAGAGCUUCUCUUUCAAGAGCAAGAACCUAAAGUACUUGCAUGCAACAAUUGAUGAGUCAUUGGGAAGACUUAAUACUCUAUCGCUAAGUGGUUGUGAGAACUUGGAAGUCCUGGUGGCUGCCUCUAUCCAACAAACAGGUUUGUCUCGCCUCUCAUCCUUAGAGUCACUGCAUUUGGACAACUGCAAGAAACUUCAGUGUAUUCCUCAGCUUCCCUCUUCUUUACUCUUGCUUGAUGCUUCUGGAUGCACCAAUUUGACAACAAUAUCAGAUGUUUCAGACUUGAAAAAUUUGGAGAAGUUGAUUUUGGGUGGCUGUAAGUUGCUUGAAGAUGUGUGUGGCCUUGAAAAUAUUUCAAGCAACUUGAAAACGCUGGAAAUGCCUGGUCCUUGUGAUUUCAUAGAGUGUUGCCAUCUUAGUCAUGAAUUCAGAAAUAAAGUGUUCAAGGAGAUGACUUUUGACAGUUUAAGAAGGUUCAAAAUGUCGGGGUCUCUGGUGCGAGGAUCAGCAACAGGGCAGCAGCAGUUGCAUUUCAUGCUACCAAGAUUGAGAUUUAGUUGGCUGAGAAGAGCACGCCUGACGCUGGGGCUGGACCAGGUUCUCUCACCCAUGCAUGUAGUGAUCAUGGCCGACAAUUCUCUUGUGUUUGAGAAAAUCGUUCGAUGCGCCGAUGAGGUCGAAUUGAACUUGAGAGAGGAGAGCAUGGUAAAGAGUGGGAAGGGAGAGGGGGAGCAUUGCUAUACAGUACAGGUGACAACGGAAGCAUCCCAACUGCAAAAUGUCUGGGCAGUUCUUGAGCACAGGAGUGGCUGGUAUUAGAUGUCACAGGAUUUAUGGAGACAAUGUUUGUGUUUGGAUUUGGAAGACAACCUGCGAAAUGGUGUAUCACGGCAGACUGGUACGAGCGUAAUCAGCUGAUUGAGGCCUGAUUUGGCCGAUCCGGUCAGCAUUUCUGGCAAUAUGGGUGAAGGCGUCAUUGACCCUGCUUCAUUUCAGUGAGCUCUGCAGACAGUAUCGAGGUUAGUGGCCAGUGAGGGCUGUAUUGCCCUCUACACUUUAUGAGGAAUAAAAAUACUACUUUCACUACUUUACAAGUGAAUAGUUAAAUGCGUAACUUAGUAAGUUGGCAAUCGUUGUGCCUGGUUAACUCAAGAGAUGAAGUAGAUGAGGAGUCGGAUUUGGCUCUCAGAGUUCAUAAGCUUCACGCUUGCCUCAUGGUGAACCAAAAUUAAGAUGGAGAACAACAACAGGACCGUCAUAUUCAUGAAAUGGUCCACCAAAAUUCACCCCCAUGUCAGCAGGGUUACCAAAAUAUGGAUUAUAAUUCAUAUCGCAUAUGCGCUAUUAAGAUUACUCCUGAAGUAACCAUCCAGUAGGAUGCUGCCAUGAAUGGACACACGCAUCACCAACAUCAUCGUCCUCUAAGCAUGAUAUCUCAUAGGCUUAACAUACUCGUCAAGUUCCACAUUGGGCACCUCAAUUCCAUGGAAGCAAUCAUUUGGUCGUCUAUCACCACUUGCUGAUGCCAUUCUGUGGCUCUUCAACAACAUUGAUCCGAGAGGAACAGAAGCUGGCAAGAAUUUGAGCUGUUUGCAACCAGCAACUGAUAGGAAGUCAAGCUUCUGUAGUGAUGCAAUGGAACCUGGUACAACAUGUAGGACAGUCACAGUUUGCAACUUCUAGUGCUUCAAGAUGAAGCAAUGAACAAAUCCAUUCAGGUAUUUCUUUCAAAGAGGAACGCUUGUUUAGACACAAUGUUCAGAAGGCAGAGCUGUUAUGCUGCUGCUGCUAAGAAAGAGUUGCUUCAAUGACUUCAAAUGUCCCAAUUGCAAUGGUAAAGUUGUGAUUUGGUAACAAUCAUUGAGGUCAAGUAUUUCGAGUGAGCCCAAUUGACCAAUCUCUCGACGCACUGAUUUGCAGUCUUUCAAACACAAGUGAAUUAAGCUCUUGAGAAGCCCAAUCGAUGGAUGAAGUUCAAUUGUUACACAUCUUUUUACAACCAUCAAAAUGCAAUUUCUCUAUAUGUAGGAUGCUCCUAAAUCUGGACAGAUGGUGAGGUUCUCACAAAAAUUGAGAUUAGGACCUUCAAUUUGCCAAGCAAAGGCUGUUUUGAUGAUUUAUAAUUCCCCAACUGCGACAGCAAAGUUGUAAUUUGAGGGCAAUAGCUAAAGGUGAAGCAUUUCC